rnacentral:misc_RNA from 1 species
AACGCACCUUGCGCUCCUUGGCAUUCCGAGGAGCACGCCUGUUUGAGUGUCAUGAAAUUCUCAACCUGCGAGAUCCUUGUGGUCUUCGUAAGGCUUGGACUUUGGAGGCUUUUGUCGGCGAUUGUCGACUCCUCUCAAAUGCAUUAGCUUGGUUCCUUGCGGAUCGGCUUUCGGUGUGAUAGUUGUCUACGCCGUGACCGUGAAGCGUUUUGGCGAGCUUCUAACCGUCUCGUUCGAGACUUAUUCUUCAUUGACAUCUGACCUCAAAUCAGGCGGGACUACCCGCUGAACUUAA